AGCAGGCAUGCCCAGCCCUAUGCCCACGAGGUACGUUUUGUUUUUGCAUUUGCCCACAAGAUAGGAAGACGACGAUCGCAUACUUGAACGGCACCUAGCAUACAAAAUACCAAUGCAUGCAAACAUAACCUUCUCUCUUCUUUAUAUUCGUCGCUGCUCUCGCGAGCAAGCUGACCAACAACAAUUUCAACGAUUUGUUUAUGUCUUGCGCCCUCAGCCUCAUAGGCUUUGUUGUUGCGCGAGCGACGCGCCGCUAAUCCGAACGUAAUUUGUUGUUGCCUUGUCGGCGAACUUGCAUUGAAAGAAAUCUUUCUUUUGUUUUAGUUUUACUUUUGUCCGCCCUGUUGAAAAUGUAAGCUAAUUUUUUUCAGUGCAACAAAAAAACUGAUCGCUUCAAUGUAUUUGUGUUUUUGUUUGUGAGUAUUGGUGCGUUCUCAGCCGUAUGCUGGGUUUGGGCAUGCCUGAUUUAUAGGAACUAACCGAUAGAAACUGCUGGUGCCUGAGUAAGUGCAUCAGUUGGCACAGACUGCAGCUGAUAUGCAGAGAACGGUUGCGCCUGCGCUGGGCAACUAAAACGCCUGCUGCUCCUGACUGGACGAUGGGUACAAUGGAACCAGGAGCUCACAGGGGCAUGAAUCUGCGCCAUGCUGCCUGCAGGGAUGGACUUACUCGAUCUUGGCCCCUGUUUUUGCUCCGUGUGUUUCUGUCUGUGGGUGCCUGCCUGUGUUGUCUCAGUAUGUGUGUUGCUGCUGAAGAUAGAGAAUGGAGAUCCUGAGUCCCAGCCGCCAACGUGGGCCAACGCCCACACCCAGAGAUACGAGAGUCGACAGAGUUAGCCGGGCAAUACUUGACGUGCAUCUUUUCUUCGGCUUCCUGGUACGGAUUUUCUGGCACACGGAGGAAACGUGUCACUCCGUGUCGAGGCUGACUCCUUCGGCUUCUUGCCGCCGACUUCACGCGGCCGAUAUAGAGCUUCCACCACUGGAUUCACUCCUGGAACUCCAUCUUGGUCCGGAGCAUCAGCUCCAUAGAACUGCCGGAAACUGAACUUUAGCAUCUGGAAUCGACGCUGUACAUAAAAUCGGCAAUUUGGCCACUCCAACACCUUUUUGGUCCUCACGUGCGACCCAAACCAAUUCUUGGCACGAUCAUCAACCAGGACGUAAAAUUCAUGAAUCCUCUUCGCCCCGGGCCACUGCGCUUCCAUCAGGCGGGAGAUCCCAGCUGAGAACUUUCACUGGAUCAGAAUGUGACUCCGUGGUGACUCCGGAAACUGCCUAAGAUUUUGUAGCUUCUCUUGUGAUUCCUGCUGCAACUCCUGUACACUGGUGUCCAACGCUCCUUUGAUGCACUCCGUCGCUGUUUCGGACUCGGGAGGGGCUUCCGAGUUCCAGCAUCUGCUCCAUGCGAAACCUCGGUUGAGGGAGCCAUCAGCACAAUGUCUGUGGACUGGAAUGUGUGCGGCUUUGCUAUCGUGUAAGUCCCUGGAUACAUGAUCCUGACCGUUUCCCGGGUCUGGCUCAUAAACUCCAGCCUAAAACACUGCAACAUUUAUGGCAGACCUGAUCUCACUCGGAAGCUCAACGUUUUUCCUAUCCUGGGGUCUCGUGGAAUUACGGCUCCAUUUGCAUCUUGGGAAGACUCAUUACACUCGAAAUCAGGGGCGUGUUUGGAGACCUGCGUUAACGACGUGCGACUUAUUCCUUCCACCUUUUUACUCCGAAGAAAAUCUGUUGUGGACCCAUAGAUUCCUAAAUUGUUCUUUCUCCUAAUCAUUUUUAUAUGUUAUAAAAUUUAUUUUAUUGCAAAUAAUUGUUCAAAUAUCUACUAAAACA